rnacentral:rRNA from 1 species
CCUACGGGUGGCAGCAGUGAGGAAUAUUGGUCAAUGGGCGGGAGCCUGAACCAGCCAAGCCGCGUGAGGGAAGAAGGUACAGCGUAUCGUAAACCUCUUUUGUCAGGGAACAAAGGCGGGGACUAGUCCCCGGAUGAGGGUACCUGAAGAAAAAGCAUCGGCUAACUCCGUGCCAGCAGCCGCGGUAAAACGGAGGAUGCGAGCGUUAUCCGGAUUUAUUGGGUUAAAAGGGUGGGCAGGCGGCCGGUUAAGUCAGCGGUAAAAGCCCGGGGCUCAACCCCGGCGGGCCGUUGAAACUGGCGGGCUGGAGUUGGAGAGAAGGACGCGGAAUGCGCGGUGUAGCGGUG